UGGGGAAUAUUGCGCAAUGGGCGAAAGCCUGACGCAGCAACGCCGCGUGAGUGAUGAAGGCCUUCGGGUCGUAAAGCUCUGUCGGAGGGAACGAAUGCUCCUGAAGUUAACAGCCUCAGGAGGUGACGGUACCCUCAAAGGAGCACCGGCUAACUCUGUGCCAGCAGCCGCGGUAAUACAGAGGGUGCAAGCGUUGUUCGGAAUCAUUGGGCGUAAAGGGCGUGUAGGCGGACUUAUAAGUCAGGUGUGAAAUCCCAGGGCUCAACCCUGGAAGUGCACUUGAUACUGCAAGUCUUGAGUGUGGUAGAGGCUAUUAGAAUUCCUGGUGUAGUGGUGAAAUACGUAGAUAUCAGGAGGAAUACCGGAGGCGAAGGCGGAUAGCUGGGCCAACACUGACGCUGAGACCCGAAAGCGUGGGGAUCAAACAGGAUUAGAUACCCCCGUAGUCCCUGAGCGGGCUGGCAAGGCGCAU
rnacentral:rRNA from 1 species